UCUUAUUUUGAGACUAAUUGAAGAUACUGAGGCCCAGUAAUUGAAUCAUAUAGAUUGCUAAAAGAAGUUCUGAGAAGAAAUGAAAUACAAAAGCUUGGUUUCUAAGGCUGAAUAUCAUGAGAAACUAUCAUGUUAUCCUGUGUGAGUGAGCUCCACGAGGCCAGGUUAAAGAAAUUAUGAAAACUGAAAGCCUGUCUUUAUCCAAGAACCAACACUGCCUGGACAAAUAACUUAUGAAUACAUCCUAUUCUGGAGGUAUCAUCAAUGACUUUGCCUCUGUAGCACUCUUACCAUUAUUUGGACAUUUCCAGAAAUCAAGAUCCACUUCAGUUUGUGAAGAUGAGCUGUGCUUAGACAUAGGCUUAAAAAGAAAAGCAGGCUGAGGCAGAAGGAUCGCUUGAGCCCAACAGUUCAAGGCUGCAGUAAGCUAAGAAGGUGCCACUACACUCCUGUCUGGGCAACAGAGCAAGACCCCAUCUCUAAAAAAAUAAGAUAAAAUAAAAAUUUAUAUUUAUAAUGCCUUAAAAUUAAAAAGUUAUAAAGUC
rnacentral:lncRNA from 1 species